rnacentral:rRNA from 1 species
UAGCCUCAACUCAUGUGAGACUACCCCCCGAAUUUAAUCAUAUUAUUAAAGGGAGGAAAAGAAACUAAAUAUGAUUCUCUUAUUAGAGGCGAGCGAAAAGGGAAAAGACCAGCACAUAGAAUCGAGACGA